UAUUUGCGAUUCUUUAUUUCAGAUAAGGAACUGCAAGGAAAAUCAUUUUAUGCAAUGGAUGGGAAACCGUAUUGUGAAGAGGACUACUUGAAUUCUCUUGAAAAGUGCUGUGUUUGUGGAAAUCCUGUUCUUGAUAGAAUUCUGAGAGCAACAGGAAAGCCUUAUCAUCCUGCGUGCUUUAAAUGUGUAGUUUGUGGAAAGUGUUUGGAUGGUAUUCCAUUUACUGUUGAUGCCACCAGUCAGAUUCACUGCAUUGA